CCUCGGAACCGCCUAGUGGCCUGUCUGCGACACUGCACCUCCAAGCUGUCCCAGCCAAGGCCUCCCAUGUUUCUGCUCACUCCCCAGCUAUCCUUUUUCUUCCAGACCUUUCUCCUACGUAGUGGCAACACCCCGAGCCUAAAAGGGCCUGCGAAGAUCAUAGCCCCACCUCCCCACAUGCCUGCUGCUUUAUGGAGGAGGAAACUGAGGCACAGAGAUGUUAAGCAAUUCAUAAACACCGUGGCAUGUUCACCUGUAUCCCCUGGUCCCCCACAUGUGACCUGCCCCCUUCCGACGCCAGGCCAGCUGGGGGACCACUGGGUUCUGCCUACAUUUCCCCUGGGUGUGUCCUUGGGAUGGAAGGCAGGCAGUGGGCAGACAGGAGGUUGAGGACUCACGUUGACCUUCCGGGUAUCAGGUCCCUCAACACAUACUCUCAUUUAAGAAAGGAGCCGGUCCGCAGAGGUGGGUGUCCUCACACCCAUUUGACGCGGGAGGAAACAGGCACAGCAAAUCCAAGUGACUCACGAAGGCCACAUGGGAUGGUGCCCUUUUCUUUCCCAGCCGUCAGCUUUGGGGUGAAAUCAGAAUGAAAAGGAACAAGUCAGGCGAUCCUAAAAGGUGCUGGGGGUUGGCUUAUGGCCGGGAAGCAGACAGCUUUUUUCUGCUUGUUUCACCUUUCAGGAUGUGGAUUUUGUGGGCCUGGCAUCCCCGUGGGCCUCAGGUUUCUUCUGUCAUCAGCUCCCCCAUAGAGGUGUUGUCACCUCCUCUGUAGAGCAUCCCCCCCCGGGUCCUGAGAAGGAUGAGGCUGAAGGGGCACUGGGCUGGGGGGUGUCCAGUCCAGCAGGUGGGCCCAGAGGGUCCCUGUGGCUUGGCUUUGGUGAGAAAUGCAUGGGCAGGACCCCUUCCUGUCGCCCCCAUCCCUUGUCCUUUGCUCUUGGUACCCCUCCUCCCUUAGUUUCCUUGGGGGCAGGGGGUGAGGAAUUUAACUUCAGGGCGAAGUUUGAAAUUUCACAUCCCAGCCCAGGGAGAGGGCCCCACAGUGCCUCCCCUCCACCACCCACCAAAAAAAAAAAAAAGAAAAACGUGAAAGGAGCCUUUGUGGGUUGGAUGGAGUGGGGGGUGAGCUGUAGCCUGGAGAACUAACUUUUUCCAUGACUCAGCUCUCCUGGCACAGGGCAGGCACAGGAGGUACAGAGACCCAGCAGGGCAGUUUGGGACCCGCCUCAGUCCAGAGCCAGCCCGUGUCAGGGUUAGAGGUGGGCCCCCAGGAGAGCCUCCCCUGAGAUCAGCAGGGGAACUUGCUGGCCCUGGAUAGGCCACGAGGCUGUAACCAUCUCCCCCCAUCACUGCCCACUGAGUCCCCUAUUUUUUACUUAUUGGCAUCCCCAGUGCCAAGCACAUGAAUGUUCAUGGCACUUUCCUUAGCACCACCUCAACUGAGAAACUGGAAAAAUAAACGGGCAUCAAGCCUUGCCUUUUAUUUAUGAGACUCAGAGAAGUUAAGAAAGUCACCCAAGAUCACACAGCUAGGAGAUGGAGAUGGGACUUGAACCCUGGUCAAAUGCUCUAAGUUCUGUCUACUUUAUCCAGGGAUGUCUCUCAGAACGUGUAGGACUCCCUGGGGUGCUGGUCAAAAUACAGAUUCCUGGGCUUCCAGCCUAGACUAGUAGGGUCAGGGCCCACGAGUGUGCAUGCAGGCCAGGCAGGAGAUUGUUGGGCACCCAAUGGUUGAGAACCUUCCAGGGCUGUCGCUCCGUGGCCCCUUUGGUACUUACAGCCCCUGCAUGAAGGUCUCCCCACCUCUUACACCGCCGUGCAAGCCCUUCCCUCCUCGGCACUUAGGCUGCAUCAUGGUGUGAAGCCCUCCCUCAUGGGCUGUUCUGGGUUGAUCCUUCUUGUCAGCUCGAGAUACCUAAUGAGGGGAGAAAACGGAAGCCAGAGGGACGGAAGUGCUUUCACUCACCUAUUCAGUCCAUCCACCAGCCAGCCAACCGUCACGGAGUCCCCUACCUGGGCUGCCGCUGAUGGGACCGGAGGCAGGAGGGGGGUGCGUCAGAGAGGAGCAGCUUGGGUUCAAGUCCCAGCUCCUCCAGCGCCCCCAUCUCGAGCUUCCUCAUUUGUCAAGGGUGGGUAAUAAUGAGGAUAGAAUUAGAUCCUCCUAAAAUCCCCUACCAGGAGCUCAGUGAGUGCCAGCUCUUGUUUUCAUGGCACGGUCCCUGCUUGUCAGGGCCUUUUAAUCUUGCUAAGGAGUCAGCCCGGCCACAUGCAGAGAAACAUUUUGUGGGGUUCCAGAGCAGGGCUUCUGAAACAUCUCGCCAGGCUGGGCACUCCCUCAUUUGACCCUGUUACCUUCCAUCCCCAUAGCUGCCAACACUCUUUCUCCAAGACCUUUUCUCUCUGGCCAAGUAACUUACCUAUUUAUCUGGCAAUGUUUCCUUUAACUCAUGUGCUAUUUUUUUUUUUUUCCAGGAAACUCUUCCUAGCUGCCCCCUGAGUCCCCAGUGUCCUUGCCUUAAGCCAAGGCUUGACCCCUGUGUUUCCCUCCCUCCUACACUGUAUCUGGUUCCACACACCAGGACUCUCACACCAGACUGGGAGCUUCUCAGGGGUAGAGGCUGGACUGCCUUGGUGGGUAUGUGACCCAUGCAGUGGCACUGGGCCCCCAGUGAGAGUGGUCCCCAGGUGCUUUUUGUGAACAUUGAAGUUUGAGAAGUGCGAGGUGGUGUCCCUCAAGCCGGUGUGACAGGAGCAGAGGGGAGAAGCCCCGGCUUCUGGGUCCAGAACAGCCCACAGGAACCAGGAGCAGGUGCGGAGACAGCAGGGGGGAGGCCGUGUGGGAUGGGCAGGGGAGAGACGGGCAAGUAGUGACACCAGCAAGCUCUCUCCUGGGAACGCCCAGCUCGGGGGCCUCCCGGGAGGUCCCUUCCUCCUCCAAGGGACACUCCUUUUGAGUGGGAUUUUAACAGCGAUAACUCGACACACACACGCGCGCGCACACACACACACACACACACACACACACACACACACAGCUUUAUCUGACCAUUGGCGACUUUGCCCUGAGCAGAACAAGCUGGCAGUGUUGAAUGAGGGGGUUGGAUUUGGAGAACCUUGUGGUCUAGUGGAAACCAGUGUCCCAAGCAGUGUAAGAGGGGCUAAAUUUUGUGGGGGGGGCAUCUUUGUGGAGACGGCCACGUGGGAGGACGUGAGCCGUGUGAGGGGGUGCGGACCAGGGGUACUUGUCCAGCCAAAGGAAACAGGAGAAAACAGCCUUCAGUAAACUCCCUGUGGGGAGGGGGACACUUGGUCUGCAAAGGCUGGAGACGUUAAAAAACUAAUACCCCCCCCCCAACCCCCGCCCACUUCUAACACCGAACAUUUACCAGGAGGGCCCAUUUUCUUCUUGGUGAGGUCUAGCCAAUGGGACUGGGUACAUAUAUAUAUAUAUAUAUAAAUCAAAACCAAAAACCCAAUGGUUUCUUUCAUCCGUGAAAACCCAUCCCCCACAGGUUCGUAUUUUCCAUGGAACUCCUCCUUCCCAGGGCCGGGGUCUGCUCGCCCAGGCAGGCUUUCCUGGUGGGUUCUGUGGGCUCCAUGCGAGUGGACGCUGGGGCAGGCCGUGUUUAUUCUGGCUGCCGGGACUGGGUGGAGAAGCAGGCCGCAGCCAAGGGCCGGGAACGUGGCAGGAACACAGACGGGGUGGGGUGGGGUGGGAGUGAAACCUGAGACAUCUUGGGCCGAAGCCAGGAGGGCACCCAGUGGUUGUCACCUGCCUCCAGGCCGGUCACACAAUCCUAACUCAGGGCGUGGAGUGUAAGGUGUGAGGAUGGCUGUGGGGCUGGCACGCCGGCUUGGGAUCCAAGCUCUGCCACUUCGUCGCUGUGUGAGUUUGGGCAAGCGAUUUGCCUUUCUGAGCCUUUGUGUUCUCAUCCCUAAAGUGGAAAUUCUACCACCUACAGAGAUGAUGUCUUGGAAGGGCUUGGCAUCUGACGGGAAAAGAUGCUCGACCCCAGGUCCCCAUGCUUCAUGUGGAUUACCUCGCUUCGCCAUCACAAGCCACCAGCUGAUGGGGUACGGUUGUCAUUCCCAUUUAACAGAUGAGGAAACUGAGGCCCACGUAAGAGGAGCAGCUGGUCCAGAUUGUGCGGUUUUGAGUGGUGUUGCUGAAACACAGACGGGAUAAUCAGAUCUUCUGAGCUUCGGUGAAUCUGUAGCCCAGUCAGGCGCUUGUUGAAGCGUUCGUAGUUACGUGGAACAGUCGCGUGGGCAGUUACGAAGGAAAACAGCAACCAUCCGCCCACUCCCCAGUCAGAUAUACAAUAUCGGCAAUAUACUCCCUCGUUUAAAAUUUAGUCUAGGGGCGCCUGGGUGGCUCAGUCGGUUAAGCGUCUGACUUCA